rnacentral:hammerhead_ribozyme from 1 species
GCACUGCUGAGGAGUCCCACAAUAGGACGAAACGGUCGUUCAAUGU